rnacentral:lncRNA from 1 species
GUAAAAGAUUGCAUUGUAACAAACAGACAUAAAAUUCAACGAAAGCAAAGAACAAAGUAAAGAUAAUUAUUGGCGGUAAAAACUAACAUAAAAUAACUUGCUAAUACCACAUUUGAAAAAAUUGAAACUGUAAAUAAGUCCAGCGCCUACUAUUGUUAAUCAUUAAGGGAAUUAUAGUCCCAUUGAAAGAUUUGUUUGCUAAUCGGUUUGUUUGUUUUUCCUACAUCGAUAUCAAUCACUGAAUCACAUUUGAGUUUUAUGGAUCUAAAUUAUAGUUUCAAAAAUGUUUGGAUUCUAUUGGUCGUUUGUCAUCCUGCUUAUGGUAAUUAUGCCAAUCAUUAUAUAACAGUCUUUUUUAAUCUUUCGACUUUGAAACAGAGUUUCCUAACAUCUACGGUAUUGUACUUUUAUACAUCUUUAAUGUCAAGUAGCUGUAUAUAUUAAAAAGACAAUUCUCCGCAAGACACCAAAAUGACAGAGAAAUUAACAACUAUAGGUCACCGAACGG